rnacentral:piRNA from 1 species
UAGGUGUUUGUGUUUCGCUGUCUGUCCA